GGUCAAGAAACUAAGGGCGCAAGGCGGAUGCCUUGGCACCAGGAGGCGAAGAAGGACGUGACAAGCAACGAAAACCUCGAGUAGGAGCAAAUAUCCAGUGACUCGGGGGAAUCCGAAUGGGGAAACCUACUAGACACACUCUAGUAUCCAUACGUGAAUCAAUAGCGUAUGGAGGCGAAUGUUCUGAACUGAAACAUCUAAGUAGGAACAAGAAAAGAAAGAAAACUCGAUUCUCCAAGUAGCGGCGAGCGAACAGAGACAAGCCCAUUAAAGUAAGACUAAACUGAUAGACAAAUCUUAUGGAAAGAAGAACCAAAGAAAGUAACAGUCUUGUAGUCGAAAUCAGAAUAGAGACACUUUAAGAAGAGUACCACGGAGCACGUGAAAUUCUGUGGGAAGAUAGGGGGACCACCCCCUAAGGCUAAAUACUACCUGGUGACCGAUAGCGAAUAGUACCGUGAGGGAAAGGUGAAAAGAACCCCGGGAGGGGAGUGAAACAGAACCUGAAACCUUGCGCCUACAAGCAGACAGAGGAAGAAGACUUCUAAUGUCGUACUUUUUGUAGAACGGGCCAGCGAGUUACGAUACGUAGCAAGAUUAAACAUUUAAGAUGUGAAGUCGCAGGGAAACCGAGUCUUAAUAGGGCAGAAGUUAUGUGUUGUAGACCCGAAACCGGGUGAUCUAUCCAUGGGCAGAGUGAAGGUAAAGUAAAAUUUACUGGAGGCUCGAACCGGGUAGCGUUUAAAAGCUAUCGGAUGACCUGUGGAUAGGGGUGAAAAGCCAAUCGAACUCGGAUAUAGCUGGUUCUCCUCGAAAUAGCUUUAGGGCUAGCCUUGUUUUAGAUUACAGGAGGUAGAGCACUGAAUAGUCUAGGGGAAGUAAUUCUACCGAAACUUAUCAAACUCCGAAUGCCUGAAAAUCGAUGAACAGGAGUCAGACCAUGAGGGAUAAGCUUCAUAGUCAAAAGGGAAACAGCCCAGACCACCAGUUAAGGUCCCAAAAUACAGAUUAAGUGGGAAAGGAUGUAAUACUACUCAGACAACCAGGAUGUUGGCUCAGAAGCAGCCAUACAUUUAAAGAGUGCGUAAUAGCUCACUGGUCAAGUGGUAAUGCGCCGAAGAUGAACGGGGCUAAAUCUGAUACCGAAACUGUGGGAUAGAAAAGCAAUUAUGCGAGAAGUAUGAAGAAAAGUGAUUAGGAAAUAUAUCAACUAGUAAAGUAAGAGAGAAAGACAUAAAUAAAAACUAUUAAACGAUACAAUUUCUAAAACACUUAACAACAUACAACUGGCAUAAUAGCUUUUCUAUCGGUAGAGGAGCGUUGUAUAUGAAUAGAAGCAAAAAGCGUAAGCAAUUGUGGAUUAUAUACAAGUGAGAAUGCUGGCAUGAGUAGCGAAAAGGGAUGUGAGAAUCAUCCCCGUCGAAAGCCCAAGGAUUCCUGAGCAAGGCUCGUCCUCUCAGGGUAAGUCGGGACCUAAGGCGAGGCCGAAAGGCGUAGUCGAUGGACAACAGGUAGAAAUUCCUGUACUACAAGAUUGUGAUUGAGAGAAGUACUGACGCAGAAGGAAAAGUCGAGCGUGUGAAUGGUAGAACACGUCCAAGUAACAAGCCAGAAUAUACAGGCAAAUCCGUAUAUUCGUUAACGUAAGUUAUCAUGGGGAGCAGAAAGAUGCGAAGCGACAGAUUCAAACUGCCAAGAAAAGGUGCUAUCGAAUAAUCUUGUACCCGUACCGCAAACCGACACAGGUAGGCAAGAAGAGAAUUCUAAGACGCGCGGAAGAACCUUUGUUAAGGAACUCGGCAAAAUAAUCCCGUAAGUUAGCGAGAAGGGAUGCCUAAGAAAUUAGGUCGCAGAGAAUAGGCCCAAGCGACUGUUUACCAAAAACACAAGUAUCUGCUAAAUCGAAAGAUGAAGUAUAGGUGCUGACACCUGCCCGGUGCUGGAAGGUCAAGGGGACUUGUUAGAGCAAUCGAAGCAACGAACUUAAGCCCCAGUAAACGGCGGCCGUAACUAUAACGGUCCUAAGGUAGCGAAAUUCCUUGUCGGGUAAGUUCCGACCCGCACGAAAGGUGUAACGA
rnacentral:rRNA from 1 species